CGCGUAGGCGGUCUUUUAAGUUCCGUGUGAAAUCCCUCGGCUCAACUGGGGAACGGCACGGGAAACUGGGAGGCUUGAGUUCGGGAGAGGGAAGCGGAAUUCCGGGUGUAGCGGUGAAAUGCGUAGAUAUCCGGAGGAACACCGGUGGCGAAGGCGGCUUCCUGGACCGACACUGACGCUGAGGCGCGAAAGCUAGGGGAGCAAACG
rnacentral:rRNA from 1 species